rnacentral:rRNA from 1 species
UACGAGUGCCUCAAGCGUUAUCCGGAAUUAUUGGGCGUAAAGGGUGUGUAGGUGGUCCUAUUAGUCUUGUGUUAAAGCCAGAAGCUCAACUUCUGAUCAGCAUAGGAAACGGUAGGACUCGAGUAUGUGAGAGGUUUGUGGAACUCAUGGUGUAGGGGUGAAAUCCGUUGAUAUCAUGGGGAACACCGAAUGCGAAGGCAGCAAACUGGCACAACACUGACACUGAAACACGAAAGCGUGGGUAGCGAAUGGG